rnacentral:rRNA from 1 species
AAAAUGUAACGGAGGCGCCCAAAGGUUCCCUCAGCCUGGUUGGCAAUCAGGUGUCGAGUGCAAGUGCACAAGGGAGCUUGACUGUGAGAGUGGCAGCUCGAGCAGGGACGAAAGUCGGGACUAGUGAUCCGGCGGCUCGUUGUGGAACGGCCGUCGCUCAACGGAUAAAAGGUACCUCGGGGAUAACAGGCUGAUCUUGCCCAAGAGUCCAUAUCGACGGCAUGGUUUGGCACCUCGAUGUCGGCUCGUCGCAUCCUGGGGCUGGAGUAGGUCCCAAGGGUUGGGCUGUUCGCCCAUUAAAGCGGUACGCGAGCUGGGUUCAGAACGUCGUGAGACAGUUCGGUCCCUAUCCUCUGCGCGCGUUGGAAAUUUGAGAAGGUCUGUCCUUAGUACGAGAGGACCGGGACGGACGAACCUCUGGUAUGUCAGUUGUACCGCCAGGUGCAUGGCUGAUUAGCUACGUUCGGGAUGGAUAACCGCUGAAAGCAUCUAAGCGGGAAGCCGGCUUCGAGAUGAGAUUUCCUUGCCCCUUUGAGGGUGUGAGGCCCCCAGCUAGAACACUGGGUUGAUAGGCUGGAUGUGGAAGCGAGGACUGAAGACUCGUGAAGCUGACCAGUACUAAUAGGCCGAUGACUUACACACA